CCUACGGGUGGCAGCAGUGGGGAAUAUUGCACAAUGGGGGAAACCCUGAUGCAGCGACGUCGCGUGAGUGAUGAAGUAUUUCGGUAUGGAAAGCUCUAUCAGCAGGGAAGAAAAUGACGGUACCUGACUAAGGAGCCCCGGCUAACUACGUGCCAGCAGCCGCGGUAAUACGUAGGGGGCAAGCGUUAUCCGGAUUGACUGGGUGUAAAGGGAGCGUAGACGGCGGUGCAAGCCAGAUGUGAAAGCCCGGGGCUCAACCCCGGGACUGCAUUUGGAACUGUGCUGCUAGAGUGUCGGAGAGGCAGGCGGAAUGCCUGGUGUAGCGGUGAAAUGCGUAGAUAUUAGGAGGAACACCAGUGGCGAAGGCGGCAUGCUGGACGAUGACUGACGUUGAGGCUCGAAAGCGUGGGGAGCAAACAGGAUUAGAUACCCUGGUAGUC
rnacentral:rRNA from 1 species